CAGCACCCUCGCUGGAGUCCAGUGUUUCUGUCACACACACACACACACACACACACAGCACAGAUUUUUUUGAUUAUGUAGAUUUCUUUUCCUACUGCAGUUUCAUAUGCAAAGCAUGCAUCAGCCACAUCCAUGCUAUCUCCUAAAGCAGUCAUUCUGAAACCCAAUCUGGGGACAGUGCAGACUAAAUAAAAUUUCAUUUUGAUUUGGCCUCCCGCUGUGAAUGGGACUGCUUUGUCUCAGCCGACAGAACCAGCAAGCCAGAAAGGCUGACCAAAAUUUAUUUAAUCAUAUGAUGUUCUACUUUAAUAACAUGACAUUUGAAGACAUCAGACUAUACCACUGAAUAAGGGAAUGGCUUCUUUGGAUGACUCAGAGGAUGAUGGAAAGAGAAAUUCUUGUGAUCAGUUUGCUGAUCGUAUCUAUCAUUAUUGUGCACUGAUAUCCACCAGACACCUGGCCUGAAGUGUCCCAACUCAUCUCCCAACAAUGUUUGAAGGGUUCAAAUUUUUAUUCCUGGAGUCACCCUUCCUCAAUGCUGCUUGUGAAUGGUAAACGACCCGAAUCUUUGUCUGAAAAAUGUCUGCAUUUCAAUCUUGGUGUCAAGUGAUUAUUUAUCAGUCUGUGAAAUUCUGCAUUGAUGGCUUAGCUGUGUUCUCCUGGCCCACUUAAGGUAUUAUUCCAUUGUCCUCUGUAUUUCUGGUACCUGAGGAGUUUCCACUCUAGAGCUCAACUACGUGUUUAAAAGAAUCUUCAUUAAAUUGCAUGUCGCUUUUUGGUAUCGGUGCCAAGACAGCGUUCGUGUUAUUUCAUCCACCAUAUUACCAGCACCGGAAAUCUCAGGAUGCCCUCAGCAUCUCAGCCCCUGCCAUACUGUGGAGAACACAAUGAACGCAAUGGUGGAAUUUUCGAAAAUUUAAGGGAGUCCUUUUUCACCCUAUUUUUGAUUCACUUCUCUUUUCAACAAAACUUUUUGGACAAGUGUUUUUAUUUCCACAUUUAUUUUUAUAUUCUACUUAUGAAACAAUCUCUGGAUAUUUGGUCAUUGGUAUUGAUUUGACUAUCUACAUCAUUGGAAAGUGAAGAAGUGGAAUAUUUCAGGACUGGAAUCUCAGAUUGUGACUGAAAUGCCUGCAAUCCCAGUGAAUGGGGAGGCUGAGGCAGGAGGAUGGCAAGUUCCAGGCCAGCCUUAGCAACUUAGGGAGUCCCUAAGUAAACUUAGAGAGAUACUGUCUCAAAAAAAAAAAAAAAAAAAAAAACAUGAAAAGUACUGGGGACUUAGCUCAGUAGUUGAGCACCACUAACUCAAUCCCCAACCCAAAAAACAAAUUCCUCCUAAGCCUGUGGUCUUCCCAGGUCCCAGAUUCCAAUGCUGUCCAGGCUUUUUGGUCCCUGUACAGCAUUAAGUCUUCAGUUUAUUCCACUUUCUAUCCCUAAGAUCCAGAGCUGUGACUUACCUAUGGAAAGAUACCCAGCAGUAAGAUGGCAGAAUCAUGAAACAGGUAUUUGUUACCACUUUUUAAAGGAAAUGACAAAUAUUUUCCAAAUAAUGAUAUUAUUUUACUUUGCUAUCCACAGAGUAUGAGAGCCCUGAUUCCAUUACCAUCUCAUCAGCAUUUGGACAGAUUGUUUUUUUUUUUUUAAUCUUAGCCAUGCUACUGUGUAUCUCAGCGUCUUUUUAGUUUAUGUCCACUAAUUAUUAAUAAUGCUGAGCAGCUUGUCAUAUGCUGACUUCCAUCCAUAUACCUCCAUCACAAAGUGUCUAUUCAGAACACAUUCUUAAAACAACUUUUGGAGGGCUGGGGAUGUGGCUCAAGUGGUAACACACUAUCCUGGUAUGCGCGAGGCACUGGGUUAGAUCCUCAGCACCACAUACAAAUAAAAUAAAGAUAUUGUGUCCACCUAAAAACUAAAAAAUAAAUAUUAAAAAAAAUUUUUGAACUAUUGAGCAUUUAAACUUUUCACAGAAAUAAAUAUACUUUAAAAUUAUGUUCUUCCAAUCCGUGGUUUAUCCUUUCCACUAACAGUAUCAUUUCUUGGCGGGGGCAUGAUAAUGUUUUUAAUAUUGAUGACAUCCAAGCUUUCAGAUUUCUUUUGUGGAAAAUGGUUUUGCCAUUGUAGCUACAAAAUCUUAGCUUAAGGCAGACACAAUAUUUUUUGCCUUUGUGUUUUCUUCUAAAAUUUACCUAGUUUUAGGUUUUACGCUAAGUACAUUUUGAGAUAAUUUUUCCAACAGUGAGAUAUGUGGAUCAAAGUUCAUUUUGUGAGAUAUGGACAUCUGGGUGUUUCAGUGCCAUUUGUUGAAAUACCUACAUUGUUGUGAGAAAUAAAUAUUUUUAAAAUAACUUUAGCUCAGUAAAACAAUUCUUUUGUUUCUUCUUUUGUUUGUGUGCUUAGAAAAAACUUCUGCAACCAGAAAUCAAGUAAAUGACAUUUUCUCCAAAGACCUUUUAAUUUUUUCAUCUCUUUUCUUUAAUUCCUGUUUUAAUCUAAUUAAAAUUUAUUGUGGUAAACAGCAAUAUGUAUGUAUAGAUAUAUAGAGAGAUCACAUAGAUAUAUGUGUGUAUCAUUGGUUAAUAUUUAAGAACUCUAAAAGAUUCCACACAUCAAAAGGUUUCAGUUGAUUUUAAAAGUUACAUGGAAUAAUGAAAUUGUAAAAACAAGAACAGAUAAGUUCUGGUUCAGGUGGGAUGGAAAUGAGACAUGAGAUAUUGCCACAUAUGCAAGGAAAUAUAAAUAUUAGAAUCAAAUACCAGAUAUAAAUUCCAUGCUACUACAUUUGGAAAUAGUGAAAGAAUCUAAGAAAAUAUAAAAGGACAAAAUUGGGUAAAGAAGUUGGAAAAGUGAAUAUAAAAUAAAUAAUGAAGAAAUUGGAAAUUUUUCAAGGAAUUUCCUCUAUGAGAUGCUAUGGGUUCAAAGAGCAGUAUGGGUAAAAUCUUUCAAAAACUUCAAAGAAAUUCCACAGAAUAUAAACGGACGCACAGCAUGAGAAAUUAUGGAAAUUUUCCCAGUUGUUUUUGCAAAGCUAGUAAAACAAACUCUCUCUCUCUCUCUCUCUCUCUCUCUCUCUCUCUCUCUCUCUCUCUCACACACACACACACACGCACACACACACACACACAAAAUAGGUUAAACUCAAUUUAGCAUAUGGAUAUAAAUAAUCCUAAAUGAAUUGGAAAAUGGAAUUAAUUAAAACUAACAAUACACAGAAAAUUAAUGUGUUAGACCCAACAUGACUUUAUUCUAGAAUGUGAUGAUCAGUGUAUUAUGGGUAAUCCAUUAAUAUUGAAUCAAUAGAGAAAAGCCAUGUGGUAAACACAAAAGUUCCCCAAAGACUUAAUGCUUGAAAUUGUAAAAUUUUAAGAUCACUCUAGAUUCACACCUAACUAUAAGAAAUAAUACACAACAAUAAUAUGGAAACAUAUCCUCUCUUUUACAGUGUAACACUGUGCAUAACUAUAGCACAAGCAGGAAAUGUAUAUCAGGGGGAAAAAUCUAUCUCCCUUAUUCAUAUUUAUAUAAAUUGACUUGUGAGUGUUUGGUUAUAUGCAUUUUGUAAUAAGUAUAGAUUUGCAUGCCUAUGCCCACAUUUAACAUGCAAAACAAUUCUCCUAUAGUGUCUCUUACAUACUGUCCUAGCCACAGACAUGAAUCUAUUUUCCAUUUCUAUGAUUUUUCUUUUUUAUGGUGCUGGGGAUUGAACCCAGGACCUUGUGCAUGUGAAGCAAGUACUCUACCAACCAAGUUAUAUCUCCAGCCCCAUUUCUAUGAUUUUGUCAUUUCAUUUUCAUGUAAAUAAAAUUAUAAUGUAUGUAACCUUUUUGAGAUCGGAUUUUUUUCCCACUCACCAAAAUUCCUUUGAGAUCCAUGUAAAUUUUUGCUUGUAUCAAAUUUUCUUUCUUUUUUUAAUGAUAAGUAGUAUUUCCUAGCAUGGAUAUGCCACAGUUUUUUUUGUUCAUUUGUUUUAUUUUGUUUUAUUUAACCGAAACAUUUUUUAACUCCGUAGUUUGGGGCAACUACAAAUAAAGUUGCUGUGAAAUUUAGGUGCAGAUUUUUCUGUGAACAUGAAUGUUUACUGUUUAAAUGUUUUGUUUUUUUUUAAUGCAACUCACGGCUCUUAAAGUUUUCAUAUGUUUAAUUUUGUAAUCAACGACCAUACUCGUUUUCAUUUUAUAUUCCCUCUAGUAUAUGACUGUCUCCGUUUCUCUACCUCCCUACUGGCAUUUAGUGAUAUAACUAUUUUUCUAGCUUUAGCCAUUCUUCUAGGUGUGUGGUAACCUCCCCUUGCAGUUUUCACUUGCGUUUCCUUGAUGGCUAAUGACAUUGGACAUCUCUUCGUGUGUGCACUUGCCAUCUGUGUAUCUUUUUUCAGUGGAAUAUCCAUCCAUGUCUUUUGCCCAUUUUCUAAUUGGAUUUUUUUUGUUUGCAACUGUUACCUACCAGUCUUGUAGCUUGCUUAUCAAUCUUCUUAACAAGGUUAUUGCAGAGCAAAAUUUUAUAUUUUUAGGAAGCCUAAUUUAUCAAUUUCUCCCCUUCAAUUUCAAUUUCAAGGAACUCUUUGCUUAGGCCUAGCUUUGAAGGUUUUCUCCUGUGCUUUUAAAUAAAUGUUUAUAUUUCACUACCUUUAAGCUUUCUCAUUCAUUUUGAGUUCAUUUUGUGUUAGGUCAAAGCUGUAGAUAGAGGUUCAUUGCUUUGCAUAUAGAAGCCCCAUUUCUCAAACACCAUUUAUUAAGAAGCCUUCCCUUUGUCUAAUGAUCUGCUUAUGCAACUUUCUCAAAAGUCAUUUGGGCAUAUAGGCAUGGGACUAUUUCUGGGUUCUCUGUUCUAAACUACUUUUAUGUAUCUAUCUCUCCACCAAUAUCACAUUAUAAGACUCAAUAUUCUUCCACUUUAUUCUUCUAAAAGAAUUGUCUUUAGUUAUUUCAGGGUAUGGGAUUUUUCAUAUAAACUUUCCCAUAUAAAUUUUUUCUGUAUUGAGAGAAUCCAUGGUUGUAGUUUGAUAAGAAUUGCUUUAAACCCAGGGAACAAUUUGAGGAUAGUUAAUAUCUUUGGUAGGUCAAAUCAUCCAAUCCAUGAACACUUUACAUAUCUGUAGUUGGGUCUUUGAUUUCAAUCAUC